CCGAUCUUAGCUCAGUUGGAAGAGCGUGGGACUGUAAUUGGUUAAAAAUUGUCCAUCCCGAGGCCGUGCGUUCGAUCCGCACAGAUCGGA